UAAUUAACUGAAUCCAUAGGUUAAUGAGGCGAACCGGGGGAACUGAAACAUCUAAGUACCCCGAGGAAAAGAAAUCAACCGAGAUUCCCCCAGUAGCGGCGAGCGAACGGGGAGCAGCCCAGAGCCUGAAUCAGUGUGUGUGUUAGUGGAAGCGUCUGGAAAGGCGCGCGAUACAGGGUGACAGCCCCGUACACAAAAAUGCACAUAUUGUGAGCUCGAUGAGUAGGGCGGGACACGUGGUAUCCUGUCUGAAUAUGGGGGGACCAUCCUCCAAGGCUAAAUACUCCUGACUGACCGAUAGUGAACCAGUACCGUGAGGGAAAGGCGAAAAGAACCCCGGCGAGGGGAGUGAAAAAGAACCUGAAACCGUGUACGUACAAGCAGUGGGAGCCUCUUUAUGGGGUGACUGCGUACCUUUUGUAUAAUGGGUCAGCGACUUAUAUUCUGUAGCAAGGUUAACCGAAUAGGGGAGCCGAAGGGAAACCGAGUCUUAACUGGGCGUUAAGUUGCAGGGUAUAGACCCGAAACCCGGUGAUCUAGCCAUGGGCAGGUUGAAGGUUGGGUAACACUAACUGGAGGACCGAACCGACUAAUGUUGAAAAAUUAGCGGAUGACUUGUGGCUGGGGGUGAAAGGCCAAUCAAACCGGGAGAUAGCUGGUUCUCCCCGAAAGCUAUUUAGGUAGCGCCUCGUGAAUUCAUCUCCGGGGGUAGAGCACUGUUUCGGCAAGGGGGUCAUCCCGACUUACCAACCCGAUGCAAACUGCGAAUACCGGAGAAUGUUAUCACGGGAGACACACGGCGGGUGCUAACGUCCGUCGUGAAGAGGGAAACAACCCAGACCGCCAGCUAAGGUCCCAAAGUCAUGGUUAAGUGGGAAACGAUGUGGGAAGGCCCAGACAGCCAGGAUGUUGGCUUAGAAGCAGCCAUCAUUUAAAGAAAGCGUAAUAGCUCACUGGUCGAGUCGGCCUGCGCGGAAGAUGUAACGGGGCUAAACCAUGCACCGAAGCUGCGGCAGCGACGCUUAUGCGUUGUUGGGUAGGGGAGCGUUCUGUAAGCCUGUGAAGGUGUGCUGUGAGGCAUGCUGGAGGUAUCAGAAGUGCGAAUGCUGACAUAAGUAACGAUAAAGCGGGUGAAAAGCCCGCUCGCCGGAAGACCAAGGGUUCCUGUCCAACGUUAAUCGGGGCAGGGUGAGUCGACCCCUAAGGCGAGGCCGAAAGGCGUAGUCGAUGGGAAACAGGUUAAUAUUCCUGUACUUGGUGUUACUGCGAAGGGGGGACGGAGAAGGCUAUGUUGGCCGGGCGACGGUUGUCCCGGUUUAAGCGUGUAGGCUGGUUUUCCAGGCAAAUCCGGAAAAUCAAGGCUGAGGCGUGAUGACGAGGCACUACGGUGCUGAAGCAACAAAUGCCCUGCUUCCAGGAAAAGCCUCUAAGCAUCAGGUAACAUCAAAUCGUACCCCAAACCGACACAGGUGGUCAGGUAGAGAAUACCAAGGCGCUUGAGAGAACUCGGGUGAAGGAACUAGGCAAAAUGGUGCCGUAACUUCGGGAGAAGGCACGCUGAUAUGUAGGUGAAGUCCCUCGCGGAUGGAGCUGAAAUCAGUCGAAGAUACCAGCUGGCUGCAACUGUUUAUUAAAAACACAGCACUGUGCAAACACGAAAGUGGACGUAUACGGUGUGACGCCUGCCCGGUGCCGGAAGGUUAAUUGAUGGGGUCAGCGCAAGCGAAGCUCUUGAUCGAAGCCCCGGUAAACGGCGGCCGUAACUAUAACGGUCCUAAGGUAGCGAAAUUCCUUGUCGGGUAAGUUCCGACCUGCACGAAUGGCGUAAUGAUGGCCAGGCUGUCUCCACCCGAGACUCAGUGAAAUUGAACUCGCUGUGAAGAUGCAGUGUACCCGCGGCAAGACGGAAAGACCCCGUGAACCUUUACUAUAGCUUGACACUGAACAUUGAGCCUUGAUGUGUAGGAUAGGUGGGAGGCUUUGAAGUGUGGACGCCAGUCUGCAUGGAGCCGACCUUGAAAUACCACCCUUUAAUGUUUGAUGUUCUAACGUUGACCCGUAAUCCGGGUUGCGGACAGUGUCUGGUGGGUAGUUUGACUGGGGCGGUCUCCUCCUAAAGAGUAACGGAGGAGCACGAAGGUUGGCUAAUCCUGGUCGGACAUCAGGAGGUUAGUGCAAUGGCAUAAGCCAGCUUGACUGCGAGCGUGACGGCGCGAGCAGGUGCGAAAGCAGGUCAUAGUGAUCCGGUGGUUCUGAAUGGAAGGGCCAUCGCUCAACGGAUAAAAGGUACUCCGGGGAUAACAGGCUGAUACCGCCCAAGAGUUCAUAUCGACGGCGGUGUUUGGCACCUCGAUGUCGGCUCAUCACAUCCUGGGGCUGAAGUAGGUCCCAAGGGUAUGGCUGUUCGCCAUUUAAAGUGGUACGCGAGCUGGGUUUAGAACGUCGUGAGACAGUUCGGUCCCUAUCUGCCGUGGGCGCUGGAGAACUGAGGGGGGCUGCUCCUAGUACGAGAGGACCGGAGUGGACGCAUCACUGGUGUUCGGGUUGUCAUGCCAAUGGCACUGCCCGGUAGCUAAAUGCGGAAGAGAUAAGUGCUGAAAGCAUCUAAGCACGAAACUUGCCCCGAGAUGAGUUCUCCCUGACUCCUUGAGAGUCCUGAAGGAACGUUGAAGACGACGACGUUGAUAGGCCGGGUGUGUAAGCGCAGCGAUGCGUUGAGCUAACCGGUACUAAUGAACCGUGAGGCUUAACCU
rnacentral:rRNA from 1 species